CACGUAGGGUGCGAGCGUUGUCCGGAAUUAUUGGGCGUAAAGAGCUCGUAGGCGGUGUGUCGCGUCGGCCGUGAAAACUUGGGGCUUAACUCUGAGCGUGCGGUCGAUACGGGCAUCACUUGAGUUCGGCAGGGGAGACUGGAAUUCCUGGUGUAGCGGUGAAAUGCGCAGAUAUCAGGAGGAACACCGGUGGCGAAGGCGGGUCUCUGGGCAUUAACUGACGCUGAGGAGCGAAAGCGUGGGGAGCGAACAGG
rnacentral:rRNA from 1 species